CAGAUGUCUUGCCCUCAUUGCCAGUAAGUUUUGCCGGUGUCGCAUUCUCAGACUGGAACAAGGAGGAGGGAAAAUCCUCAGUCCGGGCACGUGUUCUAUAUCAAUUGGAUGACUCUGAAGGAAAAAAUGUAACCUGUCACUCUAAUCCAGAGACACUCUGGCUGGCGGUUUUUCUCAUCCGCUAUCUUCCACUACAAGUAAAUUUUUGUCGUUUAUAAGUCACCCAGUCUACACCCAGUCUAUGGUAUUCAGUCAUAGCUUGACUGGCCUAAGAUACCUGGCCUUCUGCAAUAUGUGGGAAAGGAUCAUUCAUAAGACUGUCAACCAAGAAAGGUAGACCUGCCAGUGAAAUGAAAUUUCCCUAAGGUGUUUGGUGGAAUCUAGGAGACUUAGAGGAAUCAGAUGAGGAAUGGCUGAUUUAGCGUGAUUCAUCUUUUCACGGUUUCUAUUGUGAAAGUCAGUGGAGGAGACUGUGCAGAGUCUACUGGAAAAGACUUUUCCCGUAAGUACUUGGGAGCGCGCUGUCAAUAUUUGCUGCCGUAUCU